UGAAGUAGAGGUUGCGUUAAUCAUCAGUAACCUGUCCGAUGCGUCAGGCCGCAUGAGAAGACAGGCAAAAGGGUGCGACGCCGAAGGAAGAUAUGAUGUCUGAGCAUAUCCUUCUGGGCAUGUGAUGAAGAAUCAUAUGACUGUCAUCCGAGAGGAUGGGGAGCUACUGAA
rnacentral:ncRNA from 1 species